UACGUAGGCAGCGAGCGUUGUUCGGAGUUACUGGGCGUAAAGAGUGCGUAGGCGGUUUUCUAAGUUUGGUGUGAAAUCUCCCGGCUUAACUGGGAGGGUGCGCCGAAAACUGGAAAGCUGGAGUGUGGGAGAGGUAAGCGGAAUUCCUGGUGUAGCGGUGAAAUGCGCAGAUAUCAGGAGGAACACCGGUGGCGAAGGCGGGUCUCUGGAAAGCUGC
rnacentral:rRNA from 1 species